GAUAUCCUAGUGGCUAAGGUUACGGAUCACCAAUCCGGAGACGGCGGGUUCGAACCCCGUUC
rnacentral:tRNA from 1 species